GCAUUGGUGGUUCAGUGGUAGAAUUCUCAUCUUUCGUGAGGGAGACCCAGGUUCGAUUCCUGGCCAGUGUA